AGUUGCUCUAGGCUUUGGACUUUCUUGUAGAACUAGGUGGGGUAGUAUAGAAUUUUUGGAAGAGUUAAUUUUGGAAUUCAUCUUUUUCUUCUUUAGUGCCAUUGAUUUAUGCUCCAUUCUUGUAAGCUUAAACAAUCAAAGUAUCAUGACAAACACAAUCCAGAAAGUUAGUUGUAUCAGUCAUUAUUAUUGUUCUAUUCUAUGCACAAGAAAAAGCUGGAUCUGUUUUGGAAUUACAUUAUUUAUUGAAUGUGUAUUAGGAAGAAUAUUUCAACAUUAUACUGAGUCCAAAAUGCAACAGUCCAAAGAGGUAGAUGUGCCUUGGGGAACUGCUCUGGUGGGGAUAUUUCAUAGCAGUUGAUGGUUGCAAAGCUGAACCAAAUUAAGGGACCACACAACACAAAGUACUCCAGUGAAAAAGUCCAAUGUGGUCUAUAUAGAAAACAAUCAAUGACAGAAGAGAAUCCAAGUACGUAUCAUUAAUCUCCAAUAAUGUAAGAAGAAAACAUAAUAAGCGACAAAUCAAAACAACAAUAAAAAAAUGAAACACCAUUCAGAAUAUGGCACUCCUUAUCUGCAAACUGCAGCAUGCUUGAGAUAAAGUUUACUCCAUAAUAGCUGAAGUGACUCCACUUCAUACACACCACUCCACAAUUCAAUUAACUUAUAAUGAAAAUUUCAAGCAACCAUUCGUGUUGGAUUCGUAUCUGUCACGGAUUUUGUUUCCAUUGUGGUAAAUUAGCCAAACUUACCACUCUCUCACUGGCUUUAGUACACAGCAGAAAAAGGGUGUCUCAAGAUUCUGCCAACUUAUAACUACUGUGUGAACACAUAGGAAAAAGGAGAAAAGAGAUUCUUCAGUUGUUGCUUGUUUCAACCGAAAAACUGUAUGUCAUUACUCAUUGGAUCUUCGUGUCAACAAAUAAGUUGGAGAAUCCGUUCUGUCUGGAACAGUGUUUGUGGAAAAAAGGGGUGAAUUCUUUGGAGAUGGCAGUGUUGUUGAAACAUCAGAAAGCACAUGGGGAAGAUAGCAGUGUAAGAAGAAGAAUCACCCGUGACGUUUUUUUGGGCAACCAAAAUGGGAAAGUAACAGCCCCGUUUUGUUCCAUUUCCGUAAAUGGACCUAAAAUUAAUUAUCGGUGAAGGAAAAAAAAAAACUUUAUUGAAUGUCCCCAUUGCCAGACUAGGUUGUACUGCAUAUCUUGUUAUUUGGCAUCAAUCAUAAGUGGCAACAAAUUAAAGUGCCUGCAUGUUAGUGGAGGGAGGGAAGGAGGCAAAAGCACAAAA